UUGAAGUUCUUCGCUGAGUUU
ensembl:piRNA 21ur-14276 ncRNA